ensembl:misc_RNA Y_RNA Y RNA
UGCUGGUCCAAACAUGGUGAGUUACUGUGAUCAUUCACAGUCAAUUACAGACCUACUUACAGAUCUGCCUUCUCCCCACUUCCCACUACUGUAUUUGAUUAGUCUUUA